CCAUUGAUUCACAGAAAAUAACAACAAGUGGAAUUUAUUGCUCUGAUUUUGAACUGAAUCUUGUGGCUGUUUUUAUUGUAAUUCAAGGCACUGUUUAAUCCCUUUCCUUAGAAGCCAUUGGAGUGAAAAUGUUCAUGUUGCAGAUUUACUUUGUGACAAUGAUGUAUGGGAAGAUUAUUCUGCAAGAACCAGAAAAUAUGAUAUGAAAUAAAGAACAUCCAAUCCCAUGUGCUAACAAAGUGGGGAUUCCUUUCCAAAGCUUUGUACUAUGCAAAGGAUACUUUUCUGGUGUGCCGAGAAGUUAUCUCUGGGACUGUCACACUUGGAAUUCCAGCAGAUUACCCUAUCAUCAAGUCAUCAGUAUGCUGCUAUUUGAAUAAACACAGCUGUUGUUUUCCAAGAAAUAUGGCUAGGAGCAGCAAGGAAAAAAAGGGCAAUUAGUGUUAUUGAAAUGAAGGGGUACUCAGGAUGGCAUAUAUAUAUUUAUGAGCAUUUUCGUUUCCGAAUAGCCUAUUUACCAUGCUGUGAC
rnacentral:lncRNA from 1 species